UGCAGGCUUCUUCAGGCCCCUUUCCUGCACAUGGGAGCCCACUGCGGCUGAACACUUCCCUGGCCUGCUUGUCCAGAGGGAAGAAGCAGGCAGGAUGGUCCCCUGGGCACCACAGGGCUCCUGCUCUUGGGACAUCACCAUCCCCUGUUCCAAGGACAGCUGCUUGCUGCUCACAGAAGAGGGCAUGCCCACAGGAACAGUGUCUGCAGGAAUGACUUACUGCCUCUCCCUCUUGUCCUCCACAGAUGGACCAGCCAUUGCUGAAGGGUGAGCCAUGCCAGCCCAGCCAGCUGACUGAAGCUGGGGAAGCCGCAAGCAAUAGCAGAUCCACCAUGACCUCAUGCGACAGCACAUUGCAGUCCUGUGAGGCAUGCAGCAAACAGUCGCCCAAAAGCCUCAUGAAGAUUUUCUCCUGUAAAUAAUUAUAGCUUUGUGAUUGACAUCACCUUUCCAGUUUAUGCAUCCCUCAUAAAGGUCCGUUGCAUCUAGCAAUGAUGGUAUGCAGAAUCCCUGUAAUCACCGAUGAGUGGGUUGGGACUUAUCGAUUACUGAAUGACUUCACUGGUUCCAAUGAUGUUAAAGUGCUCCCUUGCCUGUGGAACCCUAGGCAGCUGUCCAUUUAGCCUAUGGUGACAAGGCUACCCCUCUUCACAGCUGUGAUAUGAUUCAUUUAAUAGCAUAUUACAUGCAGUGCUCACUGAAUGUUCUAUUGUUUUAGCUUUUUUCAAUAAAGGAGUCAUUCAAAGUAAAUAGUGACCUCAUCA